GUGAGUCAUCGAAUCUUUGAACGCAACUUGCACUCUAGGUUGUCCUAGAGUAUGCCUAUUUGAGUAUCGUACCCACCCCACUCGAGUCUUGUGAGGCUUGGACAUGAGUUUUGUGUUUUGACACUAACUUGAAUUGGAGUGAAUCGGGUCUAUGCGCAGUCGUGCUGCUGCCCUGGUUCUGACGUGAUAACACAAUCUCGUCAGCUUGUGCGCUGCACCUCCAGCCCAUACACCUCUCACAAAACCCUUCCUCUUGAUAUCGAUCUCAAAUUAGGUAGGACUACCCGCUGAACUUAAGCAUAUCAAUAAGCGGAGGA
rnacentral:misc_RNA from 1 species